UACGGGGGGGGCGAGCGUUGUUCGGAAUUACUGGGCGUAAAGGGUUUGUAGGUGGUCUGCUAAGUCAGACGUGAAAUCCCUCAGCUUAACUGGGGAACUGCGUCUGAUACUGGCGGACUUGAGGACAGGAGAGGAACGCGGAAUUCCAGGUGUAGCGGUGAAAUGCGUAGAUAUCAAGAGGAACACCAGUGGCGAAGGCGAGUCCCUGGACAAUACCUGACACUGAGGCACGAAAGCCAAGGGAGCAAACAGG
rnacentral:rRNA from 1 species